GGAGCCGUCUCAUGUAGAAAGAUGCCCUCAUAGGCUCUCACAAACUGUUGCAAGCAUCUCAAAUUUUAUUGACUGCUGGGUCUUACAAUUCCUCACCAGAUGGCUUUGAACACAGUUCGAUCAUCAAUCUCAUUGAUGCUACUGAUAAUUCUGUUGGAACAGCAGGAGAUGGCUCUAGCUCCUAAACCUGCCACUCGAAACACCUGUCAUCACCUCCAAAGAUCUUUCCAAUACCCACUGGUACAGUUGUAACUCAAUCACUUCGCAAGACAGAUAAUUGCAUGUGGCCAAAGAUGUACCUGGUCAACAGGACAGGUUAGACUAUCUGCUCUCAGCUUUGUCUAUUCAUUGAAAUUUAAGAAAC
rnacentral:lncRNA from 1 species